UACGGAGGGGGCGAGCGUUAUUCGGAAUUAUUGGGCGUAAAGGGCGCGUAGGCGGCUCUUUAAGUCAAAGGUGAAAUCCCUCGGCUCAACUGAGGAACUGCCUUUGAAACUGAAGAGCUUGAGUCCGGGAGGGGGUAGCGGAAUUCCCAGUGUAGCGGUGAAAUUCGUAGAUAUUCGGAGGAACACCAGUGGCGAAGGCGGCUCACUGGUCCGGUACUGACGCUGAGGUGCGAAAGCGUGGGGAGCAAACAGG
rnacentral:rRNA from 1 species